rnacentral:rRNA from 1 species
GGAUGAACGCUAGCGGGAGGCUUAACACAUGCAAGUCGAGGGGCAUCACGAGGUAGCAAUACUUUGGUGGCGACCGGCGCACGGGUGAGUAACACGUAUGCAACCUUCCCUGUACAGGGGGAUAACCCGGAGAAAUUCGGACUAAUACCCCAUGAUGAUAUUUAUGGGCAUCCAUUGAUAUUUAAAGCUCUGGCGGUACAGGAUGGGCAUGCGCGACAUUAGCUAGUUGGUAAGGUAACGGCUUACCAAGGCUACGAUGUUUAGGGGACCUGAGAGGGUUGUCCCCCACACUGGUACUGAGACACGGACCAGACUCCUACGGGAGGCAGCAGUGAGGAAUAUUGGUCAAUGGGCGCAAGCCUGAACCAGCCAUCCCGCGUGAAGGAAGAAUGCGCUACGCGUUGUAAACUUCUUUUCCAGGGGGAGAAUAAUCCUGUCGUGACAGGACUUGACGGUACUCUGGGAAUAAGCAUCGGCUAACUCCGUGCCAGCAGCCGCGGUAAUACGGAGGAUGCGAGCGUUAUCCGGAUUUAUUGGGUUUAAAGGGUGCGUAGGCGGAUUGAUAAGUCAGUGGUGAAAUUCUACAGCUUAACUGUAGACUUGCCGUUGAUACUGUUAGUCUUGAGUGUGGUCAAGGCAGGCGGAAUGUGUAAUGUAGCGGUGAAAUGCUUAGAUAUUACACAGAACACCGAUUGCGAAGGCAGCUUGCUGGGUCAUUACUGACGCUGAUGCACGAAAGCGUGGGGAUCAAACAGGAUUAGAUACCCUGGUAGUCCACGCCGUAAACUAUGAUCACUCGCUGUUGGCGAUACACAGUCAGCGGCUAAGCAAAAGCAUUAAGUGAUCCACCUGGGGAGUACGGCCGCAAGGCUGAAACUCAAAGGAAUUGACGGGGGCCCGCACAAGCGGUGGAGCAUGUGGUUUAAUUCGAUGCAACGCGAAGAACCUUACCUGGGCUUGACAUCCCAAGAAUCCCCUGGAAACAGGGGAGUGCCCUUCGGGGAGCUUGGAGACAGGUGCUGCAUGGCUGUCGUCAGCUCGUGUCGUGAGAUGUUGGGUUAAGUCCCGCAACGAGCGCAACCCUUGCCUUUAGUUGCCAUCAUUCAGUUGAGCACUCUAAAGGGACCGCCGGUGUCAAACCGGAGGAAGGUGGGGAUGACGUCAAGUCCUCAUGGCCUUUAUGCCCAGGGCUACACACGUGCUACAAUGGGCGGUACAAAGAGCAGCGAGCUCGCGAGGGUAAGCAAAUCUCAAAAAGCCGUCCUCAGUUCGGAUUGGAGUCUGCAACUCGACUCCAUGAAGUUGGAAUCGCUAGUAAUCGCAGAUCAGCAUGCUGCGGUGAAUACGUUCCCGGGCCU